rnacentral:rRNA from 1 species
UACGGGGGGGGCAAGCGUUGUUCGGAAUUACUGGGCGUAAAGGGCUCGUAGGCGGCCAACUAAGUCAUACGUGAAAUCCCUCGGCUUAACCGGGGAACUGCGUCUGAUACUGGAUGGCUUUAGAUUGGGAGAGGGAUGCGGAAUUCCAGGUGUAGCGGUGAAAUGCGUAGAUAUCUGGAGGAACACCGGUGGCGAAGGCGGCAUCCUGGACCAACACUGACGCUGAGGAGCGAAAGCCAGGGGAGCAAACGGG